UUAGGAAUAUUGGGCAAUGGAGGAAACUCUGACCCAGCAACGCCGCGUGAAGGAAGAAGGUUUUCGGAUUGUAAACUUCUGAUCUGUGGGAAGAAGAGAAUGACGGUACCACAGGAGAAAGCCACGGCUAACUACGUGCCAGCAGCCGCGGUAAUACGUAGGUGGCGAGCGUUGUCCGGAAUAACUGGGCGUAAAGGGAGCGUAGGUGGUUCGGUAAGUUAGAUGUGAAAGCCCAGGGCUCAACUCUGGAAUUGCAUUUAAAACUGUCGAACUAGAGUGCAGGAGGGGUAAACGGAAUUUCCAGUGUAGCGGUGAAAUGCGUAGAUAUUGGGAAGAACACCGGAGGCGAAGGCGGUUUACUGGACUGCAACUGACACUGAGGCUCGAAAGCGUGGGAAGCAAACAGG
rnacentral:rRNA from 1 species